rnacentral:rRNA from 1 species
ACGGGAGGCAGCAGUGAGGAAUAUUGGUCAAUGGGCGAGAGCCUGAACCAGCCAAGUAGCGUGCAGGAUGACGGCCCUAUGGGUUGUAAACUGCUUUUAUGUGAGAAUAAAGAUAGCCACGUGUGGCUAGUUGCAUGUAUCACAUGAAUAAGGACCGGCUAAUUCCGUGCCAGCAGCCGCGGUAAUACGGAAGGUCCGGGCGUUAUCCGGAUUUAUUGGGUUUAAAGGGAGCGUAGGCGGCCUUUUAAGCGUGUUGUGAAAUGUCCCGGCUCAACCGUGGCACUGCAGCGCGAACUGGAGGGCUUGAGUGCGCCGGAAGUAGGCGGAAUUCGUCGUGUAGCGGUGAAAUGCUUAGAUAUGACGAAGAACUCCGAUUGCGAAGGCAGCUUACUGUAGCGUUACUGACGCUGAGGUUCGAAAGUGCGGGUAUCGAACAGGAUUAGAUACCCUGGUA